UGGAAAUGUCUCGGGUAGUAGAGUCUUUCCUUUCAUUCUGUUCUGUGUGCUCCUGCUGAAAACUGACGUCGGCUAAGGCUGCAGCAGGUUUCUGGAGGACCCCCGGACCUCAGGAUAUUUUCAGUCCAGGACAAGGAGGAAUUUUUGCAUGAGAUCAUUUCGAGUCACCAAACAAAGUAAGCUGGAGAUGGCAAAUGCAAUAACAAAGCCAUUUCCUUUCCUUGAGAGCCUCAAAGACAGGUCCUUCAUUGCCGAAAAACUCCAUAAUUGAUCCAAGACAACUGUUUUCCUCAUGAAAAUGAUAGAGAAGGGACACAAGAAAUGCUUAGCUGUGAACAAGGUGCAGAGCAAUCUGGAUACAAAAAUAUAGUACAGUCUUAUCUUGGGGGUCUGGUGGAUAUGCAGAAGACAAUUUCACCUUGUCACCCCAAAAAUUAACCAAUGAGCAAAGAGAGCUCCUGACCAAGCAUCUGAAAUAAUCGUGAUCAGCAGUGAAUCCAGUGAUGAAGAUGGGCCCCCCCCAAGCCUGGAGCUCAGCAUCAAGUUGUGGACCACAUGAGAACUUCUGAUUUUUUGAUUCAUGCAGACAUAAUUGGUACAGCCGAUGGGAGUAUUCUUCGCUGCUGACAUUUCUUGGAUCUGCUGGGGAAUUGCUCUGCCAUGACAUCCUGGUGACCUUGUCUGUCUCUGCUUAGGCCACACAGCCAAGACUUCCCUGAAGCUAAUGUGAUCUGUCUUGAGAAUACCCUAGAAGGAAAGAGGGGGCUUCAGAUGCAUUUGUUUUUGAGUCAUCCCUAAAUAAUGUCAUCAGUUGUAUGUAUACACAACAAUAUAUAAAAUAGACAGGGAACAAAGACCUACUGUACAGCACAGGGAAAUUUGCCGAAUAAUGUGUAAUAGUAGCCUAUAUGGGAAAAGAACCUGAAAAGGAGUGGAUAUAUGUGUAUGUAUA